rnacentral:tRNA from 1 species
GCCGAGGUAGCCCAAUUGGAAGAUGGCGUCAGAUUUAGGAUCUGAAGGUUGUGGGUUCGACUCCCAUCCUCGGUACCA